CUUUCCCUCUUUCUUCCUGCCUAACACAUGCAAGUCGAACGGUAACAGGAAGCAGCUUGCUGCUUUGCUGACGAGUGGCGGACGGGUGAGUAAUGUCUGGGAAACUGCCCGAUGGAGGGGGAUAACUACUGGAAACGGUAGCUAAUACCGCAUAACGUCGCAAGACCAAAGAGGGGGACCUUAGGGCCUCUUGCCAUCGGAUGUGCCCAGAUGGGAUUAGCUAGUAGGUGGGGUAACGGCUCACCUAGGCGACGAUCCCUAGCUGGUCUGAGAGGAUGACCAGCCACACUGGAACUGAGACACGGUCCAGACUCCUACGGGAGGCAGCAGUGGGGAAUAUUGCACAAUGGGCGCAAGCCUGAUGCAGCCAUGCCGCGUGUAUGAAGAAGGCCUUCGGGUUGUAAAGUACUUUCAGCGGGGAGGAAGGGAGUAAAGUUAAUACCUUUGCUCAUUGACGUUACCCGCAGAAGAAGCACCGGCUAACUCCGUG
rnacentral:rRNA from 1 species